AUGCCGGAUGGUCUAAAUGAUACUGCCAUUGUUCUCAUCCCCAAGGGUAAUGACCCGCAGUCGUUGAAGGACUUCAGACCAAUUAGCUUGUGUAACGUCAUCUACAAGGUGAUAUCCAAAUGAUUGGUCAAUCGGUUGCGACCCCUCCUUGACGGCCUCUUAUCUGAGACUCAAAGUGCAUUUAUCCCCGGUCGG
rnacentral:rRNA from 1 species